rnacentral:rRNA from 1 species
CAAGUCGAACGGUGAAGCCAAGCUUGCUUGGUGGAUCAGUGGCGAACGGGUGAGUAACACGUGAGCAACCUGCCCUGGACUCUGGGAUAAGCGCUGGAAACGGCGUCUAAUACUGGAUAUGAGACGUGAUCGCAUGGUCGUGUUUGGAAAGAUUUUUCGGUCUGGGAUGGGCUCGCGGCCUAUCAGCUUGUUGGUGAGGUAAUGGCUCACCAAGGCGUCGACGGGUAGCCGGCCUGAGAGGGUGACCGGCCACACUGGGACUGAGACACGGCCCAGACUCCUACGGGAGGCAGCAGUGGGGAAUAUUGCACAAUGGGCGAAAGCCUGAUGCAGCAACGCCGCGUGAGGGAUGACGGCCUUCGGGUUGUAAACCUCUUUUAGCAGGGAAGAAGCGAAAGUGACGGUACCUGCAGAAAAAGCGCCGGCUAACUACGUGCCAGCAGCCGCGGUAAUACGUAGGGCGCAAGCGUUAUCCGGAAUUAUUGGGCGUAAAGAGCUCGUAGGCGGUUUGUCGCGUCUGCUGUGAAAUCCCGAGGCUCAACCUCGGGCCUGCAGUGGGUACGGGCAGACUAGAGUGCGGUAGGGGAGAUUGGAAUUCCUGGUGUAGCGGUGGAAUGCGCAGAUAUCAGGAGGAACACCGAUGGCGAAGGCAGAUCUCUGGGCCGUAACUGACGCUGAGGAGCGAAAGGGUGGGGAGCAAACAGGCUUAGAUACCCUGGUAGUCCACCCCGUAAACGUUGGGAACUAGUUGUGGGGACCAUUCCACGGUUUCCGUGACGCAGCUAACGCAUUAAGUUCCCCGCCUGGGGAGUACGGCCGCAAGGCUAAAACUCAAAGGAAUUGACGGGGACCCGCACAAGCGGCGGAGCAUGCGGAUUAAUUCGAUGCAACGCGAAGAACCUUACCAAGGCUUGACAUAUACGAGAACGGGCCAGAAAUGGUCAACUCUUUGGACACUCGUAAACAGGUGGU